GAAAGAUCUGCAGCGAAGAUGGAGGCAGCAAGAAGUGUGAAAGAUGUUUCCCCCCAUGAUUUUGUCAAGGCUUAUGCCGCUCAUCUCAAGCGCUCCGGAAAGAUGGAGCUUCCUGAAUGGACUGAUAUAGUUAAGACUGGUAAGCUAAAGGAGCUUGCCCCAUAUGAUGCUGAUUGGUACUACAUCAGAGCUGCUUCCAUGGCAAGGAAGAUCUAUUUGAGAGGAGGUAUUGGUGUUGGUGGUUUCCGAAGAAUCUAUGGUGGAAACCAGAGGAAUGGAAGCCGUCCACGUCACUUUUGCAAGAGCAGUGGUUCAGUUGCACGCCACAUUCUUCAACAGUUGCAGAACAUGAACAUCAUUGACUUUGAGCCUAAGGGCGGAAGGAGGAUCACAUCCAGUGGUCAGCGGGAUCUUGACCAAGUUGCCGGAAGAAUUGCUGUUGCUUGUUAAGAGAGAGAUGAGUUCAUUCAAUUUUAUGAAUACAUGAGUUAGCUCAAACUUAUUGUUUCUGUUUGGACCUAAAUAGAUUUAGGGUAUUGUUGAAUUAAAUUGUGGAUGUUUUGCCUUUUCAGAAUUGUCUUUCUCAGUAUGUCAAGUUUUGCCCUUUUAGUACCCUGAAGUGUGUAUUGUGGCAUAUAUUGCAUUCAAU
rnacentral:misc_RNA from 1 species